rnacentral:misc_RNA from 1 species
GCAAACUUGGUCAUUUAGAGGAAGUAAAAGUCGUAACAAAGUCUCCGUUGGUGAACCAGCGGAGGGAUCAUUACCGAGUUUACAACUCCCAAACCCUUUGUGAACAUACCUAUCGUUGCUUCGGCGGGACCGCCCCGGCUCAGCCCGGAACCAGGCGCCCGCCGGAGGCCCACGAAACUCUUGUAUUCAUUGAGUCUUCUCUGAGUGGCGAAAGCAAAACAAAUAAAUCAAAACUUUUAACAACGGAUCUCUUGGCUCUGGCAUCGAUGAAGAACGCAGC